rnacentral:rRNA from 1 species
GAUGAACGCUGGCGGCGUGCCUAGUACAUGCAAGUCGAGCGAAUGGAUUAAGAGCUUGCUCUUAUGAAGUUAGCGGCGGACGGGUGAGUAACACGUGGGUAACCUGCCCAUAAGACUGGGAUAACUCCGGGAAACCGGGGCUAAUACCGGAUAACAUUUUGAACCGCAUGGUUCGAAAUCGAAAGGCGGCUUCGGCUGUCACUUAUGGAUGGACCCGCGUCGCAUUAGCUAGUUGGUGAGGUAACGGCUCACCAAGGCAACGAUGCGUAGCCGAGCUGAGAGGGUGAUCGGCCACACUGGGACUGAGACACGGCCCAGACUCCUACGGGAGGCAGCAGUAGGGAAUCUUCCGCAAUGGACGAAAGUCUGACGGAGCAACGCCGCGUGAGUGAUGAAGGCUUUCGGGUCGUAAAACUCUGUUGUUAGGGAAGAACAAGUGCUAGUUGAAUAAGCUGGCACCUUGACGGUACCUAACCAGAAAGCCACGGCUAACUACGUGCCAGCCGCCGCAGUAA